UCCGGGUUGGUCCCGGCGGUCCGACCAGACUUGGUAACUGGUCGCGGGGGUUGCGCUCGUUGCGGGACUUAACCCAACACCUCACGGCACGAGCUGACGACAGCCGUGCAGCACCUGUGCACGCUCCCUCGCGGGUCGCUCCCCUUUCGGCUCGCUACCACGUGCAUGUCAAGCCCGGGUAAGGUUCUUCGCGUUGCAUCGAAUUAAACCACACGCUCCGCUGCUUGUGCGGGCCCCCGUCAAUUCCUUUGAGUUUUAGCCUUGCGGCCGUAGUCCCCAGGCGGGGCGCUUAUCGCGUUAGCUGCGGCACCGGGGGGGUCGAUACCCCCGACACCUAGCGCCCAUCGUUUACGGCGUGGACUAC
rnacentral:misc_RNA from 1 species